rnacentral:misc_RNA from 1 species
GAAAGGCGAAACGUAAUGUGAAUCGCAACUAACAGUGAAUCAUUGAAUCUUUGAACGCAGGCCGCUCCUUGCUUUAUCACUUGUGUUAUUGCAAGGCAUCUAUGUAUGAGUGUCAGCCCAACAUUAUCUUUUCAAGCAAGCAUUUCGCUUUCUUGGUCUAAUCAAAAAAAAAAGAGAUUUAAUAAAUCAUGCUUUUUUAAAGGUUAGAUACACGUAAAUGUGUAUUUUUAUCAUACACAAAACACGUAACUAGAUCAUGUCUGGCCUCAUAUAUGGAAGGUUACCCGCUGGAUUUAAGC